rnacentral:rRNA from 1 species
UACGUAGGGGGCAAGCGUUGUCCGGAAUUAUUGGGCGUAAAGCGCGCGUAGGCGGUUACUCAAGUCGGAUGUGAAAGCCCUCGGCUUAACUGAGGAAGUGCACCCGAAACUGAGUAGCUAGAGUACCAAAGAGGGUCGCGGAAUUCCCGGUGUAGAGGUGAAAUUCGUAGAUAUCGGGAGGAACACCGGUGGCGAAGGCGGCGACCUGGGUGGAUACUGACGCUGAGGCGCGAAAGCGUGGGGAGCAAACAGG